rnacentral:lncRNA from 1 species
CGGCGGUAGCAUCUUUUCCUCGCCUUUCUGAGGUCUCGUCGUGAUAGUGCGUGAGGUCCUGGAUCCCAUCUUUUCGCCUCCACACCACGCGCGUCCCCCAUCCGCCGUCGAGCGACUCGAGACUACGGAGGUCCAGGCGGUGGCCGGGAGGCUGCGUGGAAGAGGAGGAGGCGGCCAGGAGGCGGGGUUGGUUGUUAUCUUUGGUUAUCUAGCUGUAUGAGUGGUGUGGAGUCUUCAUAAAGCUAGAUAACCGAAAGUAAAAAUAACCCCAUACACUGCGCAGAGGGCCUGGAACGCUGGUAGUGGCCGAGCUGCAGGAGGGAGAGCCGUGCCAGGCGUGCCUGGAGGCUGGAGGGCUGGGGGGAGGGGGACUCGUCGCCUUCAAAGGUUGCUCAGCCCGAGCCACCUCGCGAUCCCCACCCGCAACCUGCUCACCUGGGAAGAAAGCAAGAAGCCGCUCUGGGGUCGCCUCUGGAGGCCUGGUCAAAAUGGAGCAGUCUGGGCCUCAGUCCGGAGAAGCCGCUCCCGGGAGAGACAGAGCCCUUGGCUGAAGGGUUGGGGGGAAAGUGCAAGCAUCCCUCUCCCGGUCUCGACGCAUCCCGGGAGCGGGUGGCUGGUGUGAGCAGCUUCCCUCUGGCUCUUCGAAGCGACUGGUGGAGUUCGAGGUUCGUAGGAUGUCUCUAGAAAGCUGGUUUUUGCUUUGGUGGUUUCCCUGAAGCCCUUCAGCUUUACUGGGAGUCAAGAUUGCCCAGGUGGGAACAGGUCUAGGAGCGGGGAAGGCUUAAAAACCAACACACACAUCGAACUUAUUAGGGAGAAUGGCGAUGCAGAAACAAAGUAACCACAAGGGCAAGGGCCAGAGUGGCCAGAGACCUUUUUACCCCACAGGAAUUCUGGGACCCUGGGGCGCAGGUUCUUUGCUUUCACUUUGGCCUUCAGGACCAGAGCUAAGUCUAACUGAACUCUCUCUGGCUGCUUUGUCAUUAGUGGCUAAAGGUGUAGAGUUGGGGUGGGGGGCUUUAGAGCAUCCCACCUUUCGGUCCUAACCUCACUCUUGGAAAUCGUGUCCCAAAGGAACAAAUGGCCUCAAGGAGCUCUGUGGAGCUCAAACACAAAGGAAUGUGUAGCUGUGCUGCCCAGAGAACGCAAAGAAUUAGAGAGAUUAAUUUGGGCUCCUGUAAAAAGAAUCUAUUUAUCUUGCCUGACCUAAAUAUUUUAGUGAAAGAGGGUUUCUACAGCUGAGAAGAUGGUCUAACAAACAUGGCCAGAGCUAGGAAUCCCCUCUGCUCUCAUGGCCCUCAGCCGAACUUGACCAGCUGGCACUUGGAGACCUGGGCUGUACCGACUAAUAAGAGGCAGAAAACUGGGCAAAAUGUCAUCACCCAGACUCCGCUGGUUCUUAUAAAUUUAAAAUUUCCUCCCGGGACCUGAUUUUACAGUUAGAAGAUAAUGAUUCAAUUUUGUAUUACAUGGGGGGAAAUAUUAGAGAAUCCAAAUUCAAAUUCUGGGACUUCAGGGAAUCUAUUGCCUGUGUGUGUCUUCUUUAGCAGUUAGGGGAGGGAGAGUCGAGUGGCCUCUUAAAUUCCAGAAGCUUGGAAUUUGUUUUGUUUUGGUAGGGGUGGUGGGGAUGAAGCUUAAGUCAAGGAGAAAAGAGGCUGGGUCUAGGCUGGAACUAAUGGUCUGGCCACAGCCUGUUUUCUUUUUCCGCUGCUUGAGAGAUGCCAUGUGAUCCCAUGUUACACAGGCACAAGUGAGCAGCUGACAUUACUCACUGGCUUGACACUCAAAGCUCCUUCCAUUUACUCUGUCUUGGAGAAAGUGACACUCCCCACCCCAAGGGAGCCAACUGGGAAAGUAGAAAGAAGGGAAGCCUCUCUGUUAUUGGGAAUUUGCAUGGGCAGAGGAGGGGCAUCAAUAAAAUAAGCUUCCUUAUCAUUACCAUCUUUAAUGUUUCCUGUAUAGUGUCUUCACUGUAAAUUCCAGGACAGCCAGGGCUACACAGCCCUCUAUCAUAGCACAGGCCUAUAAUCUGAGCAGUUGCAAAGUAGAGGACGAAGGAUCAAGAAUUCAAAGUCAUCCUUGUCUACACAGCAAGUUCUUGGGCAUCCUAGAGUCCCCCUAAACACACACACACACACACACACACACACACACACACACACACACACACACCACAUAUUCCCAGGAACACUUAGAGUCUCAGUUGCUAACCACAGUAGUUUUAUAUUAUUGUUUCCCAUGAGCACAUUGGAUCACAGGCUCUUCAAAAGAGAGUAGAAGGCUUUAGGAAAAGGAGGAAUAGAGGCUAGGAGGUUAGGCUGCUAAGGGUUCAUGUCUUCUUUAGAUGCACACUGACUGUGUAUGUGUACGGUACUCAGCAGGGCAGCAGGUGCCCUUUGUGAAGUCCAUGUGCCUAAGGGUGAAGAGAGGGAGGCAGCCUGUGUGGAUUGGUAUAAGGAUGUGUGCUGUGCUAGGAAACUCAGCUGGGACACUGGGGAUGCUAGAAUGUGGCCAGGCAAAACCACAGAAAAGAGCUGGGGUUUAUUAAAUGCAGACAUCACAGUGAUACCAAAGUCUCCUCCUCCUCCUCCUCCUCCUCCUCCUCCUCCUCCUCCUCCUCCUCCCCGUCCUCCUCCCCCUCCUCUCCUUUGUUUUAAUUAUUUAUUUUGUGUCUGUGGUUAUAUAUUUGUAAGUCAGAGGACAAAUUAUGAGAGAGCCUGUUCACUCCUUUAACCCUGUGGGUUCAGGAGAUGGAAAUCAAAUGUCAGGUUUGGUGGCAAAGACCUUUAUCCAGAGAUAUCUCCAUGGAUCUCUCCUUUUUUUUUUUUAGAAAGUGUUGCCCAGGCUUCCGUGGAACUGAUGACAAUUCUCCUGCUUCAGCCUCCCAAGUGCUGAACUUCCCCUCUUUAUAUCAUAUAGCACCCUCCCUACCCAGCUAAACUGUGUAGGAGAGCUCCUUUGGUCUGAGUUCAUGUUUUGUCCACUUGAGAAGUCUCCUUUGUUUAAAAACUGCCAUUUCUAUUCUUCAGUCUGCUACACACACCAGACUUACUGGAAACCAAUUUCACAUCUGGUUUCAAAGAUGUCUGUCUCUGCGGGUGUGUUUUGCCUGCAUAUGUCUAUGCACCAUAUAGUAAUGCCCUCCAAGGCAAGAAGAGGAUGCUGGAUCGCCCUAGAACUGGGGUCACGGAUGUUUGUAGAUGUUGAGAAUUGAAAACUGGAUCAGUACAGCCAGUGUUCUUAACCACUGAGCAUCUUUCCAGCCCCUCAGCUGUUUCUGUGACCCACGUUUUUCAAGCCCUUGCCCUAUGUCCUUUUGCAGGGCUCUCAGUAUACGCAGCUGAAGGCAACUUUCUUACAAAUAUUUCACUCCAGUUUUGCAUGAAUCCAACCCAGAGACAAUACCCCCACCCCUUCUAGGCAUUGAAAAGGUCUUAUUGAGCCAGGCAUGGUGGAUUGAUGCAUGCCUUUAGUCCCAGACUUUUGAGACAGAGGCAGGUAGAUCUCUGUGAGUUUCAGGACAGCAAGACCUACAUAGUGAGACCCUGCUCUUAAGAGAAAGAAAGAAAGAAAGAAAGAAAGAAAGAAAGAAAGAAAGAAAGAAAGAAAGAAAGAAAGAGAAAGAGAGAGAGAGAGAGAGAGGGAGGGAGGGAGGAAGGAAGGAAGGAAGGAAGGAAGGAAGGAAGGAAGGAAGGACAAAAUCUAAGAAAAGGAACUAGGUUUUUUUUGGAAUCCUGGUCUCAGGCAUGUCACUUACACAUUACAUCUGAGUGAGUUUCCCAUGUUGUUCUGUGUAGCAAAGGAUGCUCUACACACCAUGUGGUGACACCCACAGGGAGGCAUUCCUUCACUGCAGAGGAUUGAAGGCUACCCUUUGGGGUGUUUGUAACCAAGUAACUGUAACCCUUUAAAGAAGGAUUGAGGAGGGUCCCCUUGGUGAGCCUGCCGAGGGAAGAGCUGGGGUCUGCGGGUCACUAUUCAUAGUCAUCCUGCACCCACACCUCUCUGCAUCAGAUUUCUUGGGACACAGUUUCACUUUUAACUCAGAUUGACCUAGAACCCUCAAAGUAGCCAGGGCUGGCCUCUAACUGAUGGUGAUCCUCCUGCCUCAAUCCUCCAAUGCUUACAGUCACGCCUGGCUUUGUGUUCUUUCUUCUAAGAACAUGUGUGGCAGGUUGCAUAAUGUGUAAGUGAUAGUCAGAACCCUUUGCCAUUCAAUAUCUAGAUUUUAGAGUUUCUAGAAGCAGGAGCUGGGCUUAGUGGGUCAUGCCUAUAACCUCAAUACUCAGGAGGCUGAGGCGGGAGGGUCCAGACAUCAAGGUCAGCUUGUUCACACUGAGAUCUUGCCUAAGAAAAUAAUUUUUAAAAGACCCCACAAAAGAGGAGAUGGGGAGAUUGUACCAACAGGCAAGAUGGGCCAACUCCCCCCAGGAGGUGAGUGAAUUUAGGUUAAUGGUGGUUUCAAAUGACUGCCGGGGAGGAGAAGACAAACUGGGAGAACAAACAUUUGGGAUUUGAGGAGAAGGGGGAAUAGGGUUAUGAAAGGAAGGUUGAGCGUGCUUUUAACUGAAGACAGAGGUGAGAAAAAAGGGAGGCUCCUUGCCACCCAGGCUUUGCCAAGGCUAGAGUGACACCCCUCCUCCUGCCCUAAUCCCCCAUUAAGGCAGCUCUGAGCUUGUUAUGACAGCGGCUGAAGGCGCUUGAAUUGCUGUUUGCGGUGCCUACUAAUUGGACUGAAGGGCUGGAGUCUGGACACUGAAAGGGACCAUUGUCGCUGUUUGCCUUCCACGGCUGCCUCCCUGGGACCCUCUGGUUGAGGGGAGUCGCAUACCCGCAGGUCGUGGCACCCAUGCUCUGUGACCAUGCAAGGGUACCCUGUGGGGACACUGCACAUCAUUGUCUUGUCUGGGGUGAGUUUCCACAGCCCAGAAGAGGCAAGCCUGACACCAGACUAAGCCUCUCUUCCCUGUCCUUCCCUUCCUCCAGCAGUUCAAGCACCUCUUCUUAUCCACAUACAUCCUGCGGAGCCAGUGCUUCUAGGCUUGGUUACACACCAAAGCCGCCCUUCACCCCCAUACAGAUGUUUGGGCUUGGCCCAGCCCCCAAAAAAACUCAGAGAGGAAAUGAAGCUUUGGAGUCUGUACCAACAGAUACACUCUCCUGUCUGUGCUCAGGACAACAAUCUCACCUUCCCAAGUCCCUGAUCUAUCUAUAAUGCCCUUGUUCAUCUUUAUUACUAAAUUACUUGAAGAGCCCUUAGUAUUUAGAAUGGAAUUUAAAGGUCCAUCUUUGACCUCAGUCUUGCUCUUCCCUAAGGCCAAAAGCACUGGCUCAGGCUCACAGGAGCCUGUGGCUUUUCCAAAUGGAUCCAGUGGAGAGCUGAGCUCAUCUGAGUCCCCUGAACAUCCUGGGACUAAGGGUGGGGAGUGCAGGAUUCAUAGACUCCAGCACCCUCCCUUCCAGGAGCAGGAGACUUCCUUCAAAAUCCUCUUUUCCCUUUCCUUACUGUAUCCAAAUGUUUCUGCUUCUCUUCCCUCCAGCUUCUCCCCUGGGGGCGGGUGGGUGCUCCACCCUCCCGCCCACUCUCUGAGGACAUGAGGAACAUGGUAUCCAGCACCACGGACAGCUCCCAGCGGUGAGUGAGCCUGCUGACCCCUGUAGGAAAAUGGUGGUUUUGUCUAUUCCAGGCAGACAUCCUGCACUACAUUCCAGAUCUGAUGAGGCAUGGCUGCCCCAGGAUUACUGGGCUCGGACGGGAGCAGUGGUAGGAAGGAUCCUAUAUAAGUCAUGUGAGACAUAGAAUGUUCAGAUCAACUGAAGCUGAAACAAGCCUUUGGCAUCAUAUAUAACCCAGAAAGGGACAAAGCUGAUCCCAGAGGACUCAAGGCUAUGGGUGAUGUCGAAGGUGCGGAAGAAUCAAGUUGGAAAGACCAGCAGGAGACAGACAGAGUAAGGUUCCUUGAAUGCUUGGUUUAUGUGCCUGGCUGGAGGAGACACCCAUGGCCUUGCAGAGGGAGCGUUCUGGUGGGAAAGCAGACACAACCCACCCUAGGCCCGUGGUUUCCCUGCAAGAAGCCCAGUGGCUUUCUGGAGGACACUUUUCCUGGAGGAAGUGACUCAAGGUAUUCAGGGGGUUGGGUAGGGGAAAUAUCAAGGAAGUAAGAAAGAACAUGGUAUAUGUGGGGACUUGCCUGACCCUCCAAAGAAGUGGAGCCUUAGAUGCUGAAGCAGAGAAACUGGCUUAAUGGCCUGGGGUUUAAGGAAGUCAGCCAUGAGUUAGCUCAGAGAUGCUAGGACGUGGCACCCGGCUGGGUGGUGCUUCGUAAUGUGUAGGAGGCUCACGUGUAUGCAACCUACUGGCUUCUCACAUUAGAAGCAAAAAGGUUUGAAGAAGUUAAGUACUGCAAGGCCAAUUGGUACUAGAAUGGAGACAGAGAGGAAGUUCUACUUAGAAACUUUCUAGAAGAAGAAAGGGGAUAAUGAGAGCAAGGAGAGAGAUCCAGGGCUUAGUCUGAGGGGAUUCUGUGAGAGCAACUGAGGUAGGGAGAAGAGCCGUGUGCGUGCUGGUCCCGAGGCUGCAAUGUAAGCAACAUGCCAAGCUUUACACAAAGGCUUCUCUGUAAGAGGCCUUGGCAGUGGCUGUCAGGUGAGGGGACUUAGCUCUCAGGGCCUUCAGGGCAUUGGGGGUAGGGCUGGAGGUGGCCUCAGACUUCCAGCAGGUCCACAUCAAAAGAAAGACUCUAAGCCUGGCUAGAACUCCCACAGAGGCUAUAUAGAGCUGGUUCCAGGCCAGGCUCCUGCCCACUGCCCAGUCAGGCCGCCAGGUCUAGGCUCAGCCUCUGCCCACCUCCUAUUCUUCCAGCUGUGCCCCCUGCACCUUCUAGCAUCUCCUUUUUCAGCCCACACAUGCCCUCCCAGGUUAUGGGUCUGGUCUCACUGGGCCCGAGCAAGUACCACAGGGAACCUCUUACACUGAGGACUGUAUUGGGAAGGAGAGAAACCACUGACCAGAAGCAAAAAGGUGUCUCGGGAGGAAGGGGGUCACUGUUUCAAGCACUCUGCUCUCCAUCUUCUUCAGCACAAGUUCUUGGUGGCCUCAAUUCACGGUCUCUUCCUGUUGAUCAGCAGUGGGCAGAGACCACCUCCCUCAUUGCCGCUUUGGGUUUGGACCGCUUUAAACAGUAAAGUGACUGUCGACGGCUCAGUCUACAGGGAGGAGAACAAAAGACAGGGUCAGGGCUGGGCAGACUGGACAGGGUAAGAUUCUGGCUCCCCUCACUUGCUAGUUGGAGGAGUGGGGAGGCGAGUUAUUAGUGCCUUUGGGCCCUGACCUUAUAGCCCUUCGUAGGGUGGUGUGCGAAUGUCCAGUGUCCAGUGCUGAAUGCUGAGGGACCCAGUAAGAGGAGGUGGCUAGAACUGGAGGGACAGUUUCCCAGAAGCCUGGGCUUUGGGAUAGCAGCUGGGGAGAGCAGAGUCACGCUAGGCUCUUGUCUAGUGACUGGAGCUGUCUGGGUCUCAGGUCUAAGGUCUUAUAGGGCAUCUGGUUGGUAUUAGUGCUACAUUCUGCUGAGGCUAUCGCCCACAUUGCCUGCAGCUGACCAUGUUCCUUCCCUCUCUCCCUUUUCUCCAGAGCAGCAUAAGCCAGGCUCUAUGGAAUGUUGGGUGAGCUGCUUGAGGAACUCCAAGGCCUGUCCCACAGUCUUCCAGCCUCCGACUCUCCGGCCCUCAGCGAGGUCAGCAGUGAGCUACUUUUGGAUCUGUUGGGAUCCCUGAGCCCGUGGUCCAGGGAGACUCUGAACAGGGAGAUCUUUUGUCAUGACAUGGUUGUCUCUUGUUGUGCAAGCAAGAGUCAGGGGACAAAUGACAUUGGCUUUAGCCCCCUGCCAGCAGUACCAGGGCCUCCAGGACGGGAGGGAAGGACCAGGCUGAGGCUGGCAUAUGGGAGAGAGCGUGUGUGCGCUGGCGUUUCACCUGCUAGGGCUGCCUUCUGCUGGGCUGUCCAUCUGGCACCAGCUGGCAUACCAGCUCCGCCCCCACAGCCAACCAGACUCCUUCGGCUGUUGCUAUGACAAUUGGCUGCCAUCUUGGUACUCAGGGCACUACCGUCUCUCUGACUUUUCCUGUGGGGCUCCUGAGGGACAGAAAACAGAUCCUCAAUUUUUCAUAUCAGAGCCAGGCAGUAGUGGCACACACCUUUAAACCCAACACUCAGGAAGCAGAGGCAGGUGGGUCUCUGUGAGUUUGAGGCGAGCCUGAUCUAUAGAGCAAGUUCUGGGACAGCCAGGACUAUUUAAAAAAAAAAAGUCUCAAAAAAAAUUCAUCUCAGUAUCCAGUUUUGGAACAAGGCCAGGCAAACCAAGCAGGAGGGCUGACACUGGAGUCCCAGCACAUGGACGUCUGGCCAGAAGGGCGGUGACUUUGAGGCAGAGAGUAAGGCCCUGGUCUCAAAAACAAACCAAAUUUUUGGGUAUGAUGACCCAUGUUUUUAUUCCCAGCCCUUGAGAGACAGAGGUAGGAGGAUCUUUAUGAGUUCAAUACCAGCCUGGUCCACAUAGCAAGUUUCAGGCCAGCUAGGGCUACAUAGUGAAACCCCAUCUCAAACAAAAAAAAGGCUAAUGAAUUAAUCAGCAUGGCUAGCUCAUUUGGUAGAGUGCUUCUCUAGCAUGCACAGGGCCAUGGGUUCUACCCCCAGUACUGCGCAGACUGUGUUUGGUGGCGCGUGCGCGUAAUCCCAGCCCUCUGGAGGCUGAGGCAGAUGAGCCACUACAAUUUUGAGGCCUGCUCGGGGUGUGUUAUGAGUUCCAGGACAUCCUGGGCUCUAUCUCCAAGAAACAUAAAAUGGCAACAGUCAAAAUAGGCCACUAGGUCCGGCUCCAUGCUAUGCUCUCUGUACUCUGCGUCUAAGAAAGAAUCAGUGAGAUAGAGUUGAAGGAGUUCAGAUCCUGUUUCUGGGUUGGGACUGUGGCUCAGGGCUAGGGUGGGGGAAGGGGUGAGGGGGUGGGGGAUCUGAUCCUGUUUCCUGCUUCUGACAGACUUUUCUUCACUCCAUCAGGAAGUCCCACUGGUUUUUUUGGUUGGUUUUUUUUUUUUUUUUUAAGGUUUUUUGGUUUUUUUUUUUUUUUCUCAUUCCUGUCUUGGGAGCUUUCCCCAACCAGGAGAGUGAAGAUGGGCGGAGCUGUCACACCAACUGUUAGCCUGCCUUGGCUGAGAGGAGAGGAGGCGAGGAGGGAGCGACCACCCAGCUUUAGUCGUUUUAAAACAGCUCCUGACCCUAGAAGAAGGGAAAUGGAGAUGAAGACCCAAUUGACUUGGUAUGAAGUUUAAAUGCCCCUUCAAGACUUGGGGGUCGAGGACGGUGAGAUUGGCUCAGUGGAUAGAUUCACUUGCCUCUAAGCCUGACAACCUAAGUUAAUAUCCUCUACCCACAUAUGGAAGGAAAAAAAUGAUUUCCAAAAGUUGUCCUCUGACCUCCACACAGAGACCAUGGCCUGUGCACCACCCCCCGAAAAUGUAAUAUAUUUUUUAAAAAGACAUGGGGACUUCCAUUCAGUGUCUCCCAAUGUUUGGGGAUUUCCUUUCCUUAUUUCCUUACUCCCUGUCGGUGCCCUAGAGGAGACAGAGAGAGUCUAACUACGGAGAGGUCAUUCUCUAGGUUGGUUGGUGGAAUAUUCAGGACUCCUGGGAAGGCUCCAACUGGUCCCUGAGAGUCCCAGUUUCCUCUAUCACACAGCAGAAGGUGGGGAAUGGCUGCCGUGGUUGGAAGAGCGCGUUGGUGCUGAGGGGGCCAGCUGGUUGAGAAGCAGGUGGAGAGGGAAAGGACCCUGCUUAAGAGGGGGCUGGGUGGGAAGGCUGGGUAAUUUAUGAUAUCAUUGUUCCCGCCCCUCUUCCCAGCCCCCUGCCACUUUACUGUUGCUAGGAGAUCCUGGCUGGCCCUGUCAAAUGGAAAACUCCUCCUCAGCCAGAGUAGGCCCUACCCUGAGUCACAACAGACCCUAAACACACCAGUGUCUCCUAUGAAUCCAUUCAGGUUCAGCCAGCUUGGGCGUGGGACUACCUGACCGAGCAAGUGCUUGUGUGUGUGUGUGUGUGUGUGUGUGUGUGUGUGUGUGUGUGUGUGUGUGUGUGUGAUAUGGAGGGAGCCAGGAGAUAGACUUUGAGGAUGGAGGAGCACUCUGAGGGCCUGCAGGUGACCCUGGGAACCAAGCCUGGGAAGAACCUAAGUUAAUAAUGCAAUCUUUAUCUUAGAGAGAGUGAUCUUUCAGCAGACUGAUCGAACACACAGGCUUCUCAGCCCACUCCCUCCAGUCAAGGUUAAGGCCUGGCAAAGGUGGAGGAAGAGAAGCUGAGGAGAAAAAGGCGAGGAGAGCCUAGGCACAGGAAGGUGACCGUGAGUAGAGUUGGGUGGUCCAGGGAUGUGGCUGGGAUCCCCUCUUCCUUCUGGAGUUCUCUUAGACAGUAAGGCUGAAGAGAAGCUUGGUACAGGAACUUCGAAGGUUUCUCAAGCUGCAGGUCAUGGCUACCUGUGUUUCUUAGCACUGGCCUUGACUUGGCUACCACAGGCUUUUGUCUCAGUUUAUCUGCCCUGGCUGAAACCCAAAUGAUCCUGUCUCCAGCUCCAUAAGAGCAAUCAGAGGUCCCCCAAAAUCUCUGUCUGCUCCCUAGAGUCAUGGGCUGCUUCUUGUUCUGUGCUCCACACAGGCUUCCCUCCCUCCCAGUGCUGAUUUCCUGUGGACCAGAUUCCAGCACAGUGGAGGGCCAGAGCUCAGGGAACAGACCCAGCAGCACAGCAAGUCUCCAAGGAAAGCUCUAGCAGUCUCCAGGGGCUGAAGGCAGGACUGGGGAAGCGGCUAGCCAGGCUGCAGAAGGCAAAUGCUCCCAGACGGCUGUCCAGCACGCAUCCGCCUUCCUAGCCAAGUUUCCUGGGCUCCUGCCACAGAUCUAAGCCUCAUCCUGACAUCCUGCCCUCUGUGCUCUGGGAUGGCCCAGGGGAGAUGCUUAGCCUUGGCUCCUUGUCUGCUGGUGGAGGGGACACACACCCUUUCUGGACCACAGACCAAAAAGAAGACCUGACGUCAUCCUGAGCACCCCCGCCAUGCAGAGUGUGUUCGCAGACUGCCAACGGGCUGGCUCCGGCCAGCAGAAGUGAACAGAGGUGGAGGUUCAGCCUGACAGCUUCUCCCCAAAGCCAUGGAGAGAAAACCUUACCACCCCCACCGCCCAGCUACUUCCAGCAAGUUGUCCAGCCUGACCCCUCUAUUUCCCCUGUUGUCUCUUAUCUGGGUCCCUGAGACCCACCCCAUCUCCAAUAAAGAACAUUGCAUACUGUG